rnacentral:rRNA from 1 species
AUGGGUGAACCAACUCAUUUGCAUGAUGCACUUGCUAGUAAAGAAUGGAAAAAGGCUAUGGAUGUUGAAUAUGAAGCACUUAUGAAAAACAAAACUUGGCGUCUGGUACCACCAACAAAGGGCAUAAAUGUCAUAGAUUGCAAGUGGGUAUACAAGAUCAAGAGAAAAUCUGAUGGAAGCAUAGACAGAUAUAAGGCAAGGUUAGUUGCGAAAGGUUUCAAGCAGAGAUUUGGUAUUGGUUAUGAUGAUACUUUUAGUCCUGUUGUUAAAGCAGCUACAAUUCGACUUGUGCUAUCUGUUACGGUUUCCAAGGGUUGGAGUUUAAGGCAACUAGAUGUUCAGAACGCGUUUCUUCAUGGUGUUCUGGAAGAAGAGGUUUUUAUGCGGCAACCACCAGGUUAUGAGAACAAAAAUUCACCUCAUUUUGUUUGCAAGUUAGAUAAGGCUUUAUAUGGUUUGAAACAGGCCCCAAGAGCCUGGUACUCAAGGUUGAACACUCAGUUACAACAACUUGGGUUUACACCAUCUAAGGCAGAUACCUCAUUAUUUUUCUAUCAAAAAGGAAAUGUCAUUAUCUAUGUUUUAGUAUAUGUUGAUGACAUUAUUGUUGCUAGUUCAAGUUCAGAUGCUACCACUUGUUUUCUUAAGGAUUUAAAGAUGGAGUUUGCUCUUAAGGAUCUAGGGGAUCUUCAUUAUUUCCUUGGCAUAGAGGUCAAACAGAUAAAAGAUGGUAUACUUCUUUCACAAGAGAAAUAUGCUCAUGACAUACUCAGGAGAGUAGGGUUGGAAAACUGCAAACCUGUAAGUACACCAAUCUCAACCUCAGAAAAACUCAUAGUCGAUAGUGGAGAAGCACUUGGACCUGAGGAUGCAACAAACUAUAGAAGUGUUGUGGGUGCAUUACAAUAUUUAACUCUUACACGUCCUGAUAUUUCUUACUCUGUGAACAAAGUGUGUCAAUAUUUGCAUGCACCUACUACCACUCAUUGGACUGCAGUUAAAAGAAUUGUAAGGUAUCUGAAGUUCCCAGAAGGACUUGGACUGAGAAUUGUCAAGUCUUCGUCUAUGCUUGUGACUGCUUAUUCAGAUGCAGAUUGGGCAGGAUGUCCUGAUGAUAGAAGGUCUACAGGUGGAUUUGCUGUUUUUCUGGGAACAAAUCUUAUAUCAUGGAGUGCAAGGAAACAGGCUACAGUUUCAAGGUCAAGUACUGAGGCAGAGUAUAAGGCUCUAGCAAAUGCCACAGCUGAAGUCAUGUGGAUUCAAACAUUGCUUUAUGAGCUCGGAAUUAAGACUCCACAAGCUGCAAGAUUAUGUUGUGAUAAUAUUGGUGUAACCUAUCUUUCAGCUAAUCCUGUUUUUCAUGCACGUACUAAACAUAUUGAGGUUGAUUUUCACUUCGUCAGAGAAAGAGUAGCUCGCAAACUGCUUGACAUACAGUUUAUAUCCACUGGUGAUUAA